AUGACUAAAACGAUUAUACAGAAAAAAUCUCUGAUAUUGUAGACCUAAAGAAUGUCCUGGAAAAAACAGAUCCAUGUCAUGUCAAUGAUUAAUUUUUAUCUGUUACCCUGUGUUGUUUGUAUUGAUACCCAUGAAAACGUUGGAUUGUCAUGUUUUUAUGGAAAGAUAACAAACGUUUUUCAUACAAAUGGGCUUCAAUAGGGGCCAGCAGAAAUAAUUAAAACAUCCAUGAAUAAAUCUCAAUUUGCUUUUGUCACACAAUUCUUAUUAUCCACUUGUAUCCUCACAACAUCCACAACAGAUGAAAUGGACCAAAUGGACGAUCUGUUUAAACCAGGGGAGUUAAAGGAAAAUUCCACCUGGAAAUUAUAUUCUGUUUAAAUGUUACUUACUCCAUGUGCUUUGCAGUGAUGGCUGAGAAAAUUUUUAAAUGUCAUGUUUUCAUGUAGAGAGAAGAUAAUAAAGUUUAUGAUUCAAUGGAAGUGGCAGGUGGCCAAUGCAAUACAACAGCAAACAUCCAUGUAAAGAUUUUCAAAUUACUCGUGUCACAUAAUGUUCAUGUCGAUCAUCCAGUUGUAUGCUCACAACAUCCAAAACAGAUGACCUUUUUCCUAACAUUCUUCUUGCUCUUUCCCACUUGUACAUGGGGUCGAUGUGUUUGAUCCUUCAUCUCCUCACAGCUCGGUCCUGCACCUCCUUGCCAGUCAAGCCCUUCUUCUUCAGAUCUUCUUUGACUUUAUCCAUCCAGCUCCGCUCUGCCCUCCUUUGCUUUCUCUUCCCCUGUACUUCCAUCCCCAUCACUCUUUUGCCCACAUAGUCAUUGUCUGUCCUCAUCACAUGUCUAUACCACUUCAUCCUAUUUUCCUGUCCUUUCUUAGAUUUCUCUCCCACUUCUGUUGUACCUCUGAUUGUCACAUUUCUUUUCCAUCUUUUUCUGUAACUCCACACGUCCAUCUCAACAUUUUCAUUUCUGUCACACCUAACUUUCUCGGCCUGCUCUCCUUUUACUGCCCAUGUCUCAGUUCCAUACAUCAUUGCUGGUCUUACCACUAUUUUAAAAGCCUGACCUAUAACCUUUGUUUUAAUUCUUCAAUCACACAAUACUCCUGAAACCUUCUUCAAAUUGUUCCAUCCACACUGUACUCCAUGGGUUAUCUUUACAUCUAGUUUUCCAUCUUGGACUGCCACUGAUCCUAGAUAUUUAAAUGCAUCCACUCUUUCCAGUAGCUCUCCCUGCAGGCUAACGUCUGAUUCCUGAUCAUCACUAAACCUCAGAUAUUCUGCCGUCUAUCUUUAGAUCUUUAUUCUACCAACUUCUUCUUUUCUGAUGCUACACAACACGAUGUCAUCAGCACAAAGGCUACACCAGGAGGAUUGGCCUUUCAUCCCAUGACUCAGAACAUCCACAAUCAGAUCAAAGAGGUAAGAACCUAAAGAAGACCCCUGGUGCAGAGCCCCUCUAACUGGGGUCAUGCCUGCUACCCCAACAUUGCUUUUAACCCGAGUUCUCACUCAUCCCACAUAUCCUGCACACUCCUCACAUACUUUUCUGGUCCUCCUUUCUCUCUCAUGCACCUCUCGACUUUGUUUCUAUAAUAACGUUAAGUA